AGAAAUGACUGCUAAUACCGCAUAUGCCUUAGUAUCGCAUGAUACAAAAGGGAAAGGAGCAAUCCGCUGAUAGAUGGGCUUGCGUCUGAUUAGCUAGUUGGUGGGGUAAAGGCCUACCAAGGCGACGAUCAGUAGCCGGACUGAGAGGUUGAACGGCCACAUUGGGACUGAGAUACGGCCCAGACUCCUACGGGAGGCAGCAGUCGGGAAUAUUGCGCAAUGGAGGAAACUCUGACGCAGUGACGCCGCGUGCAGGAAGAAGGUUUUCGGAUUGUAAACUGCUUUAGACAGGUUUUAAACAAGACAGUACCUGUAGAAUAAGCUCCGGCUAACUACGUGCCAGCAGCCGCGGUAAUACGUAGGGAGCAAGCGUUAUCCGGAUUUAUUGGGUGUAAAGGGUGCGUAGACGGGAAGGCAAGUUGGUUGUGAAAUCCCUCGGCUUAACUGAGGAACUGCAACCAAAACUAUCUUUCUUGAGUGCUGGAGAGGAAAGUGGAAUUCCUAGUGUAGCGGUGAAAUGCGUAGAUAUUAGGAGGAACACCAGUGGCGAAAGCGACUUUCUGGACAGUAACUGACGUUGAGGCACGAAAGUGUGGGGAGCAAACAGGAUUAGAUACCCUGGUAGUCCACACCGUANACGAUGAAUACUCGCUGUUUGCGAUAUACAGUAAGCGGCCAAGCGAAAGCAUUAAGUAUUCCACCUGGGGAGUACGCCGGCAACGGUGAAACUCAAAGGAAUUGA
rnacentral:rRNA from 1 species